rnacentral:rRNA from 1 species
UACGGGGGGGGCAAGGCGUUGUUCGGAAUUACUGGGCGUAAAGGGCUUGUAGGUGGCCAACUAAGUCUAGACGUGAAAUCCCUCGGCUUCGAACCGGGGAACUGGCGUCUGAUACUGGAUGGCUAGAGUGUGGGAGAGGGGAUGCGGGGAAUUCCAGGUGUAGCGGUGAAAUGCGUAGAUAAUCUGGAGGAACACCGGUGGCGAAGGCGGCGA